GGGGAUGAGGGACUCUUACUGGGAAAA
rnacentral:piRNA from 1 species